GGUAAACUGUGUCAUGGGGGGUUUGUUGUCACGGGGGUUUGUUACGUAGGUAAACUGAGUCCUGAGGGUUUGGUUAUUAUUUCAUCACCCAGGUAUUAAGCCUAGUACCCAUUAGUUAUUGUUCCUGAUCCUCUCCCUCCUCCCACCCUCCACCCUCCGAUAGGCCCCAGUGUGUGUUGUUCCCCUCUAAGUGUCCGUGUGUUCUCACCAUUUAGCUCCCACUUAUGAGUGAGAACAGCAGCAUGGCAUUUCUUUCUUUUGAGACGGAGUCUCACUCUGUCGCCCAGGCUGGAGUGCAGUGGUGCCAUCUGGGCUCACUGCAACCUCCACCUCCCUGGUUCAAGUGAUUCUCCUGCCUCAGGCUCCUGAGUAGCUGGGAUUACAGGUACCCGCCACCACACCAGGCUAAUUUUUUGUGUUUUUAGUAGAGACGGGGUUUCUCCAUAUUGGCCAGGCUGGUCUCGAACUCCUGACCUCAGGUGAUCCACUGGCCUUGGCCUCCCAAAGUGCUGGGAUAACAGGCGUGAGCCACCACAACCGGCCGGCAGGGCAUUUCUUACUGUAUCUAGGAUUGGUGAGAUGGCCCCUGGAUAUGAUCCUUCUGCUGAGAAUCAAGAACACCCAUGGGAGCCAGCUGGAGUUGACACCCAUUUCCACUGGAACCACCUACGUGUUUUCAGUUCUGCUGACCCAGAUUCUGGGACUCUUGUCAACUUCAAAAGCUGCUUAUUCCAGGGAAAUUCAGAGGAACAAGAAUCAGAAGAGAGUCAUGCUCCAGAACCAUGGAGCCCUGAAAAGUAGGGCCUCCCAAAAAUACGGUAAAUAAAGAUUAAAAAUCAAAGGAAAGUACAGCUUGCCUCACAUGAGUGGGCCUGCGAUCUCAGUGAAAGACAGUCGAGACCCACGAAGCAUAUACAAUAUCAUGAAGCACACGACAUGAGCGUUUGUAAUUUGAACAUUUAUAGGGGACACAGAAAGUAUCCGUUGUUUGGAAUUAAUUUUACAGGUCACUGCUGUUACAUGAAAUCAUUCUGGAUGGCUCCUCUUAGGAUGAAAAAGUUUGAGUGGCAGUUUCCAUGGGGUUUCUGCGGAAAGCCAAAAGCCUCCCUGGAAAAGAAGCACUGCACAGCACGUGAUGGCUAGCAAUGUGAAAGUGCCCUGUGGCCCCGCAUCUUGUGAGAAGGUCCCCAGAUCAUUCCUACAAGGGUUGUGUGUUUGUGUUUCCAUUUUCUUUUCUUUUUUCUUUUUUAUUUUAUUUUAUUUUAUUAUACUUUAAGUUUUAGGGUACAUGUGCACAAUGAGCAGGUUAGUUACAUAUGUAUACAUGUGCCAUGCUGUUUUGCUGCACCCAUUAACUAGUCAAUUAGCAUUAGGUAUAUCUCCUAAAGCUAUCCCUCCCCACUCCCCCCACUCCACAACAGUCCCCAGAGUGUGAUGUUCCACUUCCUGUGUCCAUGUGUUUCCAUUUUCAAUUUGGACCUGUCAGGGCAUGCCGGCCAGGGCCAAUUUUUAUCUCCCUGUGAUGUCAGAUCUUUGUAGGAUUUUUGUUUCUUUUCGAUAUUGAAUCACCCAGUGUUGUAUAUGGCCGUUCCUAUUAAUAAAAUGUGUUCUGCUGACUUUGGGGAUCUAUUUCUUUUCAUUAUUUUCAAAAGAAACAUUGAAUUGCUUUUCCGGAGCACAGUUUCCAAUCCCUUCUGCCUUUUUCUUGCAUGUACGCUAUUGUCAUUGAGGUUACAGAGCUUGGGAAGAAAAGAAAUUUCAAGAAUAGAAGUGGAAGUCAUGUUAUGAAUAAAAUGUAUGUGAUGAGUUUUUUCACCGACAGAAAGCAGCUUUCCUGAUGCCUCCCACAGUUGAGAACAUCCUCUGGGCUCCCUUUACAUCACGCUUGGUUCAAUCGGAGCACCUAUUAUCCUGCAUAAAAUUUCCCUCCUUGCCUCACUCUGUGUUUCCCACUGGGCAGGAAUGUCCUUUAGGAUGAGAACUGGGUCAUUUAUCUGCAUUUUCAUUGCCUGGAACAGCACUCUAUAACUGUUUGUGGAAUGAAUCAGAGAUAUAAUUAUGUGCUUUUACACAUACAGGAAUUGGAACACAUAUUUAUAUAAGGAUAUAAUGAAAAAAGAAAAAAAAUGGAACUAUGGUAAAAUGAAAAGGAGAUGCUAGAACAGAAACCAGUCCCUGAGGUGGGUAAAAUAUUAGAAAAGGCUAUAGGAAAAUUUGAGGCAGUUGGCUUUUACUUCUCAGAAGCACGGACGAGUUCAUACAAGAAAAACUAACAUGACAGGGACUUUCUUCUGUAAGGCCAGCUCAGAUCAUACACCUAGUGCCCCUCCUGUAGUGACAAGUAAAGGGACCUGAAGUUUUUCAGUCAAGGGAGGAAACUGUCACGGGGAGUGAACCAAUGAAAAUAGUUGAAAAGGUUGAAAGUGAAAGGGUUAGGGUUUUUAUUGGAAUGUAGUAUGCGCACUAAAGUUUAUCUGUGG
rnacentral:lncRNA from 1 species